AGUCCCUGAGAAGAGGAGCUCUUGGGCCAAUCACCUAGUUUCUGCCUGUGUUACAGUGAAGAGAAGCUGCUUAAGAGAAGAUGAAGCCCUUGUCUCUGUUAAUAGAGAUAUUGAUAAUUCUUGGGGUCACAAUUAAAACUAUCAAAGCAGAGGAACAUAAUAAAAGACAAAAGGAAAGAAAUGUCACCACACAGGUAUCAGUGAACGAAAUCAAACAAUAUUUAUCACACAUAUUGGAACAAAGAACAUCUAGUAAUGUAAUCAAUAAAAGAGAAAAUCUCCUGGAGAAAAAGAAGAAUCAACGUAAAAUAAGAAUAAAAGGAAUUCAAAAUAAAGAUAUCUUGAAGAGAAAUAAGAAUCAUUUACAAAAGCAAGCAGAGAAAAAUUUUACAGAUGAAGGAGACCAGCUAUUUAAGAUGGGCAUCAAGGUUCUCCAGCAGUCUAAAAGCCAAAAACAAAAAGAAGAGAUUCUAAUGCCUACCUGGAUGUUUCUCUGUCUGAGGUCCUUCUUGCCUGGACUACUCUGCUCCAGCUUCUGCCCAAGAGCAGCUUAUUUUAGCCUCAGCAUGGAUGGGCUGUACAUAAAGAGCCUACCUACUUUUUGCCAAAGCAGCUGACAUGGGAAACUUGAAAGCUAUGGAGAAAAUGGCUGACGCUUUGCUAUUUGGAAAUUUUGGCGUGCAAAAUAUAACAGCAGCUAUCCAAUUAUAUGAGUCCUUGGCUAAAGAAGGAUCAUGUAAAGCCCAAAACGCAUUAGGAUUUUUGUCUUCUUAUGGAAUAGGAAUGGAAUAUGAUCAAGCUAAGGCACUGAUAUAUUACACCUUUGGAAGUGCUGGAGGAAACAUGAUGUCCCAGAUGAUUUUGGGGUACAGAUAUUUGUCGGGAAUCAAUGUUCUACAGAAUUGUGAAGUUGCCCUAAGUUAUUACAAGAAAGUGGCAGAUUAUAUUGCUGACACAUUUGAAAAAAGUGAAGGUGUUCCAGUGGAAAAAGUGAGACUAACGGAAAGACCUGAAAAUCUGAGUUCUAACAGUGAGAUUUUGGAUUGGGACAUAUACCAAUACUAUAAAUUUUUGGCAGAAAGAGGAGAUGUUCAGAUACAAGUCUCUCUUGGACAAUUACAUCUAAUUGGCAGGAAAGGUCUAGAUCAGGAUUACUACAAAGCAUUACACUACUUCUUAAAGGCAGCAAAGGCCGGGAGUGCAAAUGCCAUGGCAUUUAUAGGAAAGAUGUAUUUAGAGGGGAAUGCUGCCGUGCCGCAAAAUAACGCUACUGCCUUCAAGUACUUUUCCAUGGCAGCCAGUAAGGGCAAUGCAAUCGGCCUUCAUGGGCUUGGUCUUCUUUACUUUCAUGGAAAAGGAGUUCCCCUGAAUUAUGCCGAAGCACUUAAAUACUUUCAGAAAGCUGCGGAAAAAGGGUGGCCCGACGCACAGUUCCAGUUAGGCUUCAUGUACUACUCUGGCUCUGGAAUAUGGAAGGAUUAUAAACUUGCCUUCAAAUAUUUUUACCUGGCAUCUCAGAGUGGGCAGCCCCUUGCCAUUUAUUAUCUGGCCAAGAUGUAUGCAACAGGAACAGGAGUAGUAAGAUCAUGCAGAACUGCUGUGGAGCUUUAUAAAGGUGUCUGUGAACUAGGCCACUGGGCUGAGAAAUUCCUGACAGCUUACUUUGCCUAUAAGGAUGGUGAUAUAGAUUCUUCUCUUGUUCAGUAUGCACUGCUUGCAGAAAUGGGGUAUGAAGUAGCUCAAAGCAAUUCAGCAUUCAUUUUGGAAUCUAAAAAGGCUAACAUUCUUGAAAAAGAGAAGAUGUAUCCAAUGGCGCUUCUCCUAUGGAAUCGAGCUGCCAUUCAAGGCAAUGCAUUUGCUAGAGUAAAAAUUGGAGAUUACCAUUACUAUGGCUAUGGGACUAAGAAAGACUAUCAAACAGCAGCCACACACUACAGCAUUGCAGCCAACAAAUACCACAACGCGCAAGCCAUGUUCAAUCUGGCUUAUAUGUAUGAACACGGCUUAGGCAUCACAAAGGACAUUCACUUGGCCAGAAGAUUGUACGACAUGGCUGCUCAAACGAGUCCAGAUGCCCACAUACCUGUGCUCUUUGCCGUCAUGAAACUGGAAACUACGCAUUUGCUCCGGGAUAUCCUGUUUUUUAAUUUCACAACGAGAUGGAACUGGCUGAAACUGGACAACACCAUUGGACCACACUGGGACUUAUUUGUGAUUGGCCUCAUUGUUCCUGGGCUGAUUUUGUUGCUUAGAAAUCACCAUGGGUAGGAUGCGGAUCACAGGAAAACCUGCUCACGGGAAUCAGUUCACUCCAAGGUAUCCCCACUAAAUAAACAGUUUCCCAUCCAAAUCAAGAGUCCGCUGCAGUUUCCCGCUCAGGGCUGUGAUGGGAAACAGACAAGACUUGGGGACCAUCCUAGAGAAACAACUUCAGACUUCCUGCUUAGUAGAGAAAACCCUUUGCGGGAUGCUGGGAACUGGUCACCUAAGACCUUGUUACCAAUCU